UACAGAGGGUGCGAGCGUUGUCCGGAAUCACUGGGCGUAAAGGGCGCGUAGGUGGUGGCUUAAGCGUGCGGUGAAGCUACGGGGGCUCAACUCCGAGUCGGCCGUGCGAACUGGGCUCACUGGAGCAUAGUAGAGGCAGGUGGAAUUCCUGGUGUAGCGGUGGAAUGCGCAGAUAUCAGGAGGAACACCGGUGGCGAAGGCGGGUCUCUGGGCAGUGAACUGACGUGAGGAGCGAAAGCGUGGGGAGCGAACAGG
rnacentral:rRNA from 1 species